rnacentral:rRNA from 1 species
UACAGAGGGUGCAAGCGUUGUUCGGAAUUAUUGGGCGUAAAGGGCGCGUAGGCGGGUGCUCAAGUCCGUGGUGAAAUCCUCCGGCUCAACCGGAGAACUGCCUCGGAUACUGGGCGUCUCGAGUGUGGUAGGGGUAUGCGGAACUAUCGGUGGAGCGGUGAAAUGCGUUGAUAUCGAUAGGAACUCCGGUGGCGAAGGCGGCAUACUGGACCACCACUGACGCUGAUGCGCGAAAGCCAGGGGAGCAAACGGG